UGUCUCCUCCAUGUCUCCUCUUAUGAUAUGGAUUCGAAGCCCGCACAUCAGCGGGCUUUUUUUG
rnacentral:ncRNA from 1 species